rnacentral:rRNA from 1 species
AUUGAACGCUGGCGGCACGCCUAACACAUGCAAGUCGAGCGGUAGCAUGUUCUGUAGCAAUACAAAAUGAUGACGAGCGGCGGACGGGUGAGGAACACGUAGGAACCUGCCCUUUAGCGGGGGACAACCAAGGGAAACUUUGGCUAAUACCGCGUAAUCUCGAGAGAGGAAAGCUGCCCGCAAGGGUGGCGCUAAAGGAGGGGCCUGCGUCCGAUUAGCUAGUUGGUGAGGUAAAGGCUCACCAAGGCGAUGAUCGGUAACUGGUCUGAGAGGACGACCAGUCACACUGGGACUGAGACACGGCCCAGACUCCUACGGGAGGCAGCAGUGGGGAAUAUUGGACAAUGGGGGCAACCCUGAUCCAGCGAUGCUGCGUGGGUGAAGAAGGCCUUCGGGUUGUAAAGCCCUUUAGGUCGGGAAGAAGGACGACUAGUUAAUAGCUAGUUGUUUUGACGGUACCGACAGAAUAAGCACCGGCAAACUCUGUGCCAGCCGCCGCCGUAA